rnacentral:rRNA from 1 species
AUACGGAGGGUGCGAGCGUUAAUCGGAAUUACUGGGCGUAAAGCGUACGUAGGCGGCUUGGUCAGUCGGAUGUGAAGGCCCCGGGCUUAACCUGGGAAUUGCACUCGAUACUGCCAGACUAGAGUUUAGUAGAGGAAUGCGGAAUUCCGGGUGUAGCGGUGAAAUGCGUAGAUAUCCGGAGGAACAUCAGUGGCGAAGGAGGCAUUCUGGGCUAAAACUGACGCUGAGGUACGAAAGCGUGGGGAGCAAACAGGAUUAGAAACCCGUGUAGUCC